CCUCCUUGUGUCCGCCGUGGGGCCUCUUGGGCCCUGGGCGCGCGCCUGCCCCAGCAAAGCCGCGUGAAGGAAGAAGGCUUUCGGGUUCUAAACUCCUUUUCUGAGGGACGAAGAAAGUGACGGUACCUCAGGAAUAAGCCACGGCUAACUACGGGCCAGCAGCCGCGGUAAUACGUAGGUGGCAAGCGUUAUCCGGAUUUAUUGGGUGUAAAGGGCGUGUAGGCGGGAAAGCAAGUCAGAUGUGAAAACUCAGGGCUCAACCCUGAGCCUGCAUUUGAAACUGUGUUUCUUGAGUGCUGGAGAGGCAAUCGGAAUUCGGUGGGUAGCGGUGAAAUGCGUAGAUAUACGGAGGAACACCAGUGGCGAAGGCGGAUUGCUGGACAGUAACUGACGCUGAGGCGCGAAAGCGUGGGGAGCAAACAGGAUUAGAUACCCGUGUAGUC
rnacentral:rRNA from 1 species